rnacentral:lncRNA from 1 species
AUCAUUAGGGUAUGCGAGAGGCAAGGUUGUUAUUUAGGGACACGACACAAAGGCAUUUGCACCAUACUGUAGCUCCACUGAUGCGGCAUAUGACAGAAUCAGCAGUACAGCUAGUGCUGAGCUAGAACUUGCCAUCUAGAAAGAUGAGAACUUGCCAUCUGCAGAGUACCGAUACCUGAAAAUAGUGAGUUGAGACCACGCGGUCAUGCAAGUUUAUCGAAAUCAAGUAAUAACAUUGAAAUUCCUAAACAAGGAACUCGCCAAUGCAACCAUAAAUCAAGCAUGAGAUCGAAUCUCAUGACUCCAUGACUAUAACUGACCAUACUAGUGUUCAAAUUCAUCAUUGAUAAGACUAUAUCUUGAAUCAUCUCGAAGAAGAAGACACAUGCAAUCGCUCCCAAUGCUCUCAGCAGAGAGAUUUUCUUCCUCUGGUCUCUUCAUUUGAAAAAUGAUUUAACAGCACAAAAAGAUCCUCAUGCUGAAAAUCUUCGUUAGAAAUUAUUCUUCCUGUUUGUCGCAAUAAAAUCUAACAAUGAUAAAAUUUCAAACCCAGC